rnacentral:misc_RNA from 1 species
AAACGAGACAUGUUUCAUCGCAUCCCUGGUUCGCCACGUUUCUAGGCUAUGCACCCAAUCACAUCCCUAAACUCUAUAAUCCCCACCCUCCCUAUUCGUCCACCUUACUCAUUCUUCGAUUGCUUUCCUCCAAAAAAAAAAAAUGAACAUCCUUUUUGCCCUUUUGCUCACUCUCUUUUUCUCUUGCCUUUCUCUUUAUCCUUCUUUUGCUUCUUCCAACAUAUCCCGGCUCUUUGAAACUUGGUGCAUACAACAUGGCAAGACUUAUGCUUCUCAACAGGAUAAGCUCUAUAGACUCAGGGUUUUCCAGGACAACUAUGAGUUUGUUACAACACAUAAUAACCAGGGCAAUUCUUCUUACACCCUUUCUCUUAAUGGCUUUGCUGAUCUCACUCAUCACGAGUUCAAGGCUUCUCGUUUGGGUCUCUCUGCUGCUUCAGCCUCUGUGAAUCUUGACCAUGACGGGCCAAAUCUACGAAUGCCUGAUUUUGUUGGCGAUGUUCCUGAUUCAAUUGAUUGGAGAGAGAAAGGGGCUGUGACUCAGGUCAAGGAUCAAGGGGGCUGUGGUGCUUGUUGGUCUUUCUCAGCCACAGGAGCUAUUGAAGGCAUAAAUAAGAUCUUUUCUGGAUCUCUUGUUAGCCUCUCUGAACAAGAGUUAGUUGAUUGCGACAAAUCUUACAAUAAUGGUUGCGAGGGAGGGCUCAUGGACUAUGCAUUCCAAUUUGUCAUAAACAACAAUGGGAUUGACACAGAGGAAGAUUAUGCAUACCUAGGACGCGAAAGGUCCUGCAAUAAAGAAAAGUUAAGAAGGCGUGUUGUGACCAUUGAUGGAUACACUGAUGUGCCCCAAAACAAUGAGAAAGCACUAUUAGAGGCUGUUGCAAAUCAACCUGUGAGUGUGGGAAUAUGUGGCAGUGAAAGAGCAUUUCAAUUGUACUCAAAGGGGAUUUUCACUGGCCCAUGUUCAACUUCUUUGGAUCAUGCUGUAUUGAUUGUAGGAUAUGGGUCAGAAAAUGGAGAAGAUUAUUGGAUUGUGAAAAACUCAUGGGGAAAAAACUGGGGAAUGAGUGGUUAUAUGCACAUGCUGCGAAACAGCGGAAAUUCUCAAGGUGUCUGUGGCAUCAACAUGCUGGCUUCAUAUCCAAAGAAGACCAGCCCAAAUCCACCUCCUCCAUCUCCACCAGGACCUACUAGAUGUGAUCUCUUUACUCGCUGUGGAGAAGGGGAAACUUGCUGCUGUACUCACCACAUUUUUGGAAUAUGCUUUACAUGGAAAUGUUGCGAACUUGAUUCUGCUGUUUGUUGCAAGGAUGGACGUCAUUGUUGCCCCCAUGAUUAUCCGGUUUGUGACACAACGAGGGACAUAUGCCUUAAGCAUCACAGUAAUGGCACGAGAAUGGAAAUAGUUGCAAAGAAAAGCUCCUCUGGGAAGUUUGGCAGUUGGAGUUCCCUUCUUGAAGGUUGGAUUCUGUAAAGCCAGCUUCAUUUGUACUACUGUAUUUUUUUUUAUGUCAAGCUCCCUUAGAAUUCACAUGUUUCACCACUGAAGAAAAGACUAUUGGUAUAACUAUAAACUAAAUGGAGGGUUGGUUAGUAAAGAUUUCAUUGCAUUGUUGGAUGAAUUUAACAGGGGAAUCGGGGAACUGGGAGGCUUGUACUGUCCUGAUUCUGAAGUCCAUCAAGUAUUGAAAUCAGAAAAUUGAUUCGGGACUUUCAUUAGGCUAGAUAUAAGAUUGGUGUGAGCAUCUCUUUCAUUUGUAUGUGAAAUAUGCUUCUCACAAGCUGCAUAACAGCAAUUUUGUUUCUUUGUAUGAUAAGUUCCUGAAUAUUAGAUAUAAAGGCUUGUAGUAUGCUAGUUUUCAUAUGUAAAUGAGUAGAUAAAACGCAAACAUCCUGUUAAACUUGAAACUGGAUGUUUGUGGAAGCAUAAAAACAGUAAUAAUUAUGAUAGCAGCGGAGCUCUUAUAAUGAUGAUAACAAUUUGUAUUAAUAAAUCACACUGUA